rnacentral:tRNA from 1 species
GGUCAUGUGGCCGAGGGGUGAGGCAAGGGUCAGCAAAACCCUUAACGAUGGUUCGAUCCCAUCUAUGACAA